rnacentral:rRNA from 1 species
UACGAAGGGGGCUAGCGUUGCUCGGAAUCACUGGGCGUAAAGCGCACGUAGGCGGAUUUCUAAGUCAGGGGUGAAAUCCUGGAGCUCAACUCCAGAACUGCCUUUGAUACUGGGAAUCUCGAGUCCGGGAGAGGUGAGUGGAACUGCGAGUGUAGAGGUGAAAUUCGUAGAUAUUCGCAAGAACACCAGUGGCGAAGGCGGCUCACUGGCCCGGUACUGACGCUGAGGUGCGAAAGCGUGGGGAGCAAACCGG